rfam:Camelus ferus unplaced genomic scaffold scaffold56579, whole genome shotgun sequence.
GAAAGUAUAGCUUAGCAGUAGAGUGUGCACUUAGCAUGCACAAGGUCCUGGGUUCAAUCCCCAGUACCUCCA